ACGCUCGACACCUAGGGAGGAGCAGUGGGGAAUAUUGCACAAUGGGGGAAACCCUGAUGCAGCGACGCCGCGUGGAGGAAGAAGGUCUUCGGAUUGUAAACUCCUGUUGUUGGGGAAAAAGAGGAUGGUACCCAACAAGGAAGUGACGGCUAACUACGUGCAGCAGCCGCGGUAAUCUGAGCGGGCUGGCAAGGC
rnacentral:rRNA from 1 species